UUGACCUCGGAUCAGGUAGGGAUACCCGCUGAACUUAAGCAUAUCAAUAAGCGGAGGAAAAGAAACCAACAGGGAUUGCCUUAGUAACGGCGAGUGAAGCGGCAACAGCUCAAAUUUGAAAUCUGGCGUAUGCCCGAAUUGUAAUUUGUAGAGGAUGUUUCGAAUGCGGUCCAGUCUAAGUUCCUUGGAACAGGACGUCAUAGAGGGUGAGAAUCCCGUAUGUGACUGGGUGCCAAUUUCAUGUGAAACUCCUUCGACGAGUCGAGUUGUUUGGGAAUGCAGCUCAAAAUGGGUGGUAAAUUUCAUCUAAAGCUAAAUAUUGGCCAGAGACCGAUAGCGCACAAGUAGAGUGAUCGAAAGAUGAAAAGCACUUUGGGAAGAGAGUUAAACAGUACGUGAAAUUGUUGAAAGGGAAGCGCUUGCAACCAGACUUGCACGCGGUUAAUCAUCUGGUGUUCUCACCGGUGCACUUGACCGUGUUCAGGCCAGCAUCGGUUCAGGUGGCGGGAUAAAGGCCUUGGGAAUGUAGCUUCUUUCGGGGAGUGUUAUAGCCCUCGGUGCAAUGCCGCCUACCUGGACCGAGGACCGCGCUCGGCUAGGA
rnacentral:rRNA from 1 species